rnacentral:rRNA from 1 species
GACGAACCGAGCGAACGUUGUUCGGAAUCACUGGGCUUAAAGGGCGCGUAGGCGGGUGCUCAAGUCCGGGGUGAAAUCCUCCAGCUCAACUGGAGAACUGCCUCGGAUACUGGGCGUCUCGAGUGUGGUAGGGGUGUGCGGAACUAUCGGUGGAGCGGUGAAAUGCGUUGAUAUCGAUAGGAACUCCGGUGGCGAAGGCGGCACACUGGACCACUACUGACGCUGAUGCGCGAAAGCCAGGGGAGCAAACGGG